GCGCCGCCGCCUCCUCGCACAGCCGCAGCGAGAGCGCGGGGACAGCCCCUCUUGGGAUUGGCGGUGAAUGCAGGAAGAGAAGCCCGCGUAGCACAGCCCAGGCGGACAGGCUCUAGGUCUGCUGCGCAGACUUGAAAUGACUUGGGAGCUCUGAACAGGCGCACAUGAAAACCAAAACCGAGGCUCUUUUCUACCGCACGCCUAAAUUCGGCAGGCAAAGCUGUUCACCGUUCUGCAAAAGCGAGUGCUGUGACUUCCUACGCUGCGGCCCUCGCCGACCGCGGCCGCCGAGAGGCCUGUUCUUAACGGGAAGGGCAGCGUGAGGUUUCUUCCUCCCUCUCGCCUCCGUUGAGGCACUCGCAGGAUGAAAAGUCUGUUCGUGCCCCGCGUCCGGCCCCGUAGCCUGCACCACGGCCCUACGGAGACUGGGCAGGCAGGGAAAGGCUUUGCGAGCUGCCCCCUGCCCCAUGCAGGGAUUCCAGAUUAAUAAGCACGUCUUUGGGUUUGUCCUUCAGUUUUGGAACAAAGAUAGGCAGCGAGGGAAGGGUAGAGUGCACAGUUCUGCCUCUGUUGCCAAAAUACGGUCUGUACUGCUCCUUGGCCUGAAGAAGCAAUUUUCCUUCACGGAGAUUUCACCCUUCAUUUUGAAAAAACUCUGAUCUAGUUUCACGUAUGCUGAGCACAGCUUUUAGUCUAUUGUCUCAACUUCCACCCUGGGAAGAGCAGUGACAACAGUGGAAAUCGCUCUUCGAUAAUUCUUUUUGCUAAAGAUCUGAAGCAAAAAAACUUCCAGUCACAAUGUGCUCUGCGUGAAACUUCAGAGAUUUAAAAUACUACAAACGUUUUAUGUCUUGUUUGACUUUCUAAUUCUUGUUGCUUUCAUUACUGUCAAAGGGUUGAGGUAAAUUGCAAUCACGAUUUCAUUAUUUCCCUGUAUACAGAAGAGUUCUGACUGAAAGAUAAGAUUCCCUGAUAGUGACAUCAUGAGCUGUUAAAGCAAGUAGCAUGAAUCUCACAGUGAAAUUCUGGGUUGAAGCACUUUCUAAAAGCUAAUCAGGUUGUGGAGUGUGUGUUACACGAGUUUGUUACCUCCUACUUUUUAUAUUGAAGUCGCACCAUAUCUAAGAGCUAGUUCUAAACUCAGCAAAGCCUAAAGAAUGGCAAAAGCAUUUCUCUAAUGAGAUCCAAAAUGAAAUAUUAAUUCUUCAUUAUAUACACUAUGUUAAACCUGACAGUCCUUAGAGAGGAAGCUCUUUCCAUGUAAAAUGUGCAGGACGUAAUGGACUGUGGACAGCUGACAUUUAUUUCCUAUUAAUCAACACAGACUUCUGAUCAGUUUUGUAUAGCUUGCAUAUGAAGUUACGAAAUGAAAGGCUAAUUAAAAGUUUAAACUUUUUGAGGUAGGGUCUGAUUAUUGUAUAUGGCAUUCACUUCUUUGUGAAUCGCUGUGUAUUGCCGUGGCAUUAUUUACAUAAUACAGCAAGUUUUAAAACUGCAUUUGUUAGUGAGGUGGAGUUGCAUGGCUUAGUGGACCACUGUGAGGAGGGUGAACAGUACUGCAGAAUCUUAAUAGCACAUUAAAAACUAUUUAAAAUUCAGAUUCCCAAUGCUUCUCAAGAAGGAAAAAGUGCUGUUGUUUGGUGAUGUUAAUGUAUAGUUUUUUCCUGAUGUUAACUGGAUGUGCACUUAACAGAGAAUAAAUGCUCAGUGGUAAGCACAGAAGAGGCCACUACGAUUAAGCCUUCUUUGGCUGAAAAAAACAACACCCUGAAGCAUCUCAAGUGUUAGAACAUAUUGCUGGUCCAUCUUUAUUAGUACACCACCCUGUGUUAAGCAGCUGGGUCUUUUUCGCAUGAUCAUGUAUGACAGGCUUCACUGUGUUUUAUUAUAUUAGUAACUUAAGGCAAAACAAACACCAUUAACUCAAAAAAACCCACUGGUACUGUAACUUUUAUUUGCUAAUAAAUAUCUUAAUAAACAGGCUUACCUCAUCUGUAAGACCUGAUAAUGCCUCUUAGGAAAUCAUAGAAAAAUAAAAUACAAUAAUAAUCCAUAACUUGUACUUUGUACAAAAAUCUUACUAUGUUGCUCAGCAGGUAGCUUUGCCAAACCCCAUAUUCUUUCUGCAAAGAGAUGGCAUAUGUAAUGCAGUUCACCUUAAAAACACCCUAAUGUUGAGAGCUGAGCACUGUAUUACACUAUUAUCUUCUAGGCAUGCCAGCACAUGAAAAUUUACAUGGAACAUCAUAUUAUCAUAGGAAUAGAAUGAUAAUUUUAAAAAAGAAGGUAACACCACUUUUCAGUAAAUAAUAACAACUUCACUUCUAAUGUAAAUUCCCCUUGGGACUGCAAAUGAGUAUAUUAAGCUUUUUAUUUCAUGGCUCCUCCUACAAUACUAUUAUAAACUGGCAAAAAGCCAGAAAGGAAAAUGCAGUGGGAACAUAUAUGGGGAAUAUAUUACAUGAAGAAAAGUAAUUCUGACCAGUGAGGCAGUCCCAGGGGGAAAGCAACAAUAGCAGCUGUGAAAUGGUCCAUCUCUCAGAAUGAGUAGAUCAUGCUGUGUGCAACGUUACACAAGUUCAGACUGAUGAAGAUACAACUUAAAGUUACUGUACCAAGGCUGCUUUUCUGUGAUGAAUGGUCAAGACUGAAUCACAGGUAGUUCUCAUUACUCAAGCGCAUAUUGGUAAGAGGAAAAGAAGCAAUGGCAAAACAGAUGUUACCUGGGGGUCUUUAAAGAAAAGGUGGUUUUCAGACUACUGAUAAGGAUAUGACAUCUGUGCUGAGGGCACGGUUUGUUUGGAAAAUAGUUUGUAUUAUGAUUACACCAUUACUUUUGAAGCCAUCUGCCUUUGAAGUUUUGACAUGGCUGCUUAAAUAUAUAAUCUAGUGUCUGUCAUCAAAUAAUUGUUCAUAUAUACACAUACAUUGAUACAUCUUAUGGCUAUGCUAGAACAGCAAACUAUGAAGAGCAGUCAUAUCUAGUUGUGUACAAUCUAAUUUCACAGAAGAGACAGAGAUUAAAACCCCUUGUAAUUCAGAUACGUUUAAAACCAACAUACAGAAGUAGAGCCUAUCCUGAGAAAACAUACCAACCAUGUCAUUUUCUAAGAGAAAAUAAAAGCUAAUUUUUGGAAGGUAGUCAAAUAUUUUUCUGGCAUCUUUUCUACAAGUGAAAGUAGUUUGCUUUUUUAAAAAACUGAUUAAAAAAUUACAACAAUGAAGGUUGCUUUGCUAGAAAAUAAACUAUUGCCUUUCAGUAAAUAGGGUUUCACAUGACCUUUUAAUGAUUUUUUUUUUCCUUGUUGAAUUGCAGAUGCAAUCCUGAGAAGUGCAGAGUUCCUGUUGUUCUUACCAAAGUCAGUAGGAGUUGUUCUGCACCACAAAAGAACAAGCCCUUCUUGUUAGUCUCUUCUCUUUUCAGUCAUGGCAUCACUGUGCAUGAUGUAACUGAUACCAUCAGAGAAUUUUGACACUGGCCUCACCAGAAGCAGACACGAGGCUAUAGGUAAUACACUGAAGUAAUGACUGAUUCCAGUUCCUUUUCCAGAGUUAACCAAGAAACAACAUUUCCCACUUUUAAUCUGAUAUAGCCCUCUCUAUGUAGAGAAGCUGGGAGAAUAAAUGGCUGCAAAAGAAAUAGUAUUAAAAUGCUACAAUGCAAAUUCAAAGCUAACUGUUUAUUUGGGAGAGACAGAUAAGUAAUCACGGCUAUAAGCUUUAAAAUGCAUAUGUAAUUACAUGUUAGGAAUUUUAGAGUAGGAUGGUUUUCUUGAGAUAGGGAAUUAACGAGAGUCCAGUAAACAGAACCACUAGGAGAGUAUUAGGAAUUUUAUUUGCUGCUGUGCCUUUGAUUAACUGGGAAAUCUCAAAACUUAGACUGCAACUUGCUAGGAGUAUGAAACAAGUUGUUCAAAGAGGAAAAUAAUCAGCUAGAACUGCUAUUAUGAAGGGGAGAUCUUAUUGCAUAAUAGAUUAUGUUUAGGAAAACAAAGAAAUACAGACAUCCUAUUUUUCUGGUA